UAGGGAAUCUUCGGCAAUGGGGGCAACCCUGACCGAGCAACGCCGCGUGAGUGAAGAAGGUUUUCGGAUCGUAAAGCUCUGUUGUAAGUCAAGAACGGGUGUGAGAGUGGAAAGUUCACACUGUGACGGUAGCUUACCAGAAAGGGACGGCUAACUACGUGCCAGCAGCCGCGGUAAUACGUAGGUCCCCGAGCGUUGUCCGGAUUUAUUGGGCGUAAAGCGAGCGCAGG
rnacentral:rRNA from 1 species